UACGGAGGGUGCAAGCGUUAAUCGGAAUUACUGGGCGUAAAGCGUGCGCAGGCGGUUUGUUAAGUCCGCUGUGAAAUCCCCGAGCUCAACUUGGGAAUUGCAGUGGAUUACUGGCAAGCUGGAGUAUGGUAGAGGAAGGUGGAAUUCCCGGUGUAGCAGUGAAAUGCGUAGAGAUCGGGAGGAACACCAGUGGCGAAGGCGGGUCUCUGGGCCAUUACUGACGCUGAGGAGCGAAAGCG
rnacentral:rRNA from 1 species